AUCUAACUGACGAAUCCCGAGUGGGACGAAAUGCGCGUCCUGGAU
rnacentral:hammerhead_ribozyme from 1 species